rnacentral:rRNA from 1 species
CAGAGGUGGCAAGCGUUGUUCGGAAUUACUGGGCGUAAAGGGCGCGUAGGCGGCCAUCUAAGUCAGACGUGAAAUCCCCCGGCUUAACCUGGGAACUGCGUCUGAUACUGGACGGCUCGAGUUUGGGAGAGGGAUGUGGAAUUCCAGGUGUAGCGGUGAAAUGCGUAGAUAUCUGGAGGAACACCGGUGGCGAAGGCGGCAUCCUGGACCAACACUGACGCUGAGGCGCGAAAGCUAGGGGAGCAAACGGGAUUAGAUACCCCGGUAGUCCUAGCCCUAAACGAUGAAUGCUUGGUGUGGCGGGUAUCGAUCCCUGCCGUGCCGAAGCUAACGCAUUAAGCAUUCCGCCUGGGGAGUACGGUCGCAAGGCUG